CCUCCAUCCCCUCCCACUGUCCCCUCCCUCGGUUCCCUCGGAGGCGCCGCCGCCGCCGCCUCCCUUGCCUGUUCCUCGCUGCCUGCCCGCCUCAAGGCGAAGCGCCGCGCGCGCCCCCAACCGCCUCCCCGCGAGGCGUCCUCGCCGCUGCGGCCCGCCCGCUGGCCCCAUCCCGCCCCCGCCUCGCCUCUGCCCGCCGCCUGCGGGGCUUCUCCCGGCCGGCGCGGGCCCGGCUCGGCCCGCCCGCAGGCCCCGCCGUGCUUCCCCCGGGGUGAACUGCCCCGUGCUCCCUGACCUCCCGCCUCCUCUCACCCAGGUUACGGCCACAUUCCUCAGCCCCUCUUAGUUCCUAACUUGCUUCCUACUCGCCCACUUCUUGAAAUUUAGGUGGGGUUCCGCAGCAGCCACCGCCCCCGCCGCCGCCCCCAGCACUCUCGCAGCUUCCCUCAGCGCGCCCCUCGCCCGGCCAGCCACCACAAGUUGCCGGUGCCCGCGUCUCACCUGAACGGCACCAUCUUGCCACUGCUAGUGUCCCAGGAUGAAAGGAUGUUAUCUAUCCCGUGCCAAGAGGGAACUGAGGUGCAGGGGGAGGGGAAGAAAGUCUUCAAAACUAGCCCGCCUUGAGCAAUGAACAUAUGGCUGUUGCUAUCAGCACUGGUGUAUUUGCGGCGAUGCCUAUCAACAUCCACCAGAGAGCAGGGCAGCUCCAAAACCCACAUCUUUUAUGCUGUGGAAAUUGAUGGAGACAGCAACACAGCCAGCUUCUUGGCCAAACAACAUGGAAUGCAGUUCAUUUCAAAGGUACUGGUCUCUUAGCCUGUAAGGCUUGUGCAUGAUGUAUACGAGAGCGAUUUCCAGCGGCGUGAAGCUUAUCACAGAUCCACCUAAAAGGAAGAGGCAAUGGCAUCAACAACAUGCCCCUGUGGCUGAAAGACAUUACUCAGUGGAAGAACAGUCUGUUAGACUCCUCCUGGCAUGAUGGAAGUGAUGCCUGUGGGGAGGGAAAAUAUUUCCAGGAACUGAAGGAAUGAUUAUAGCAUCUCUAAAGAGGACAUUUGCCUGUGACUGUUGAAGUGCUGAACUGAUUUUCCUAAUCCUAGAUAAAUAAAUAGAAAGAAGGCUUUCUGCUCCUGUAGGCUGUGCUGAAGGCUGCGCCUUUUCCUGCCAGGUAUGGACUUUGCUACAGUAAUUCAAGGCUUGUUUAUCACUGUGCUGGAUUACUUCAGACUCUUCUACUUGGGGUUGUCAGCUAAAAAGCACAGAAACAUCAGGUGUUAAAGCUUGAUGAAAUUUCUAACACGAAGAAGAUAACAGACUGCUGUUUAGAUGUGUCAGCAGCAUACAGCAUCAAAAUAUCUUCAAGGCCAUGGUCAUUCUCUCCAAAUCUCCCAGUGGGUGGAGAUUUGGGAUGGAGCCCCUGUGGGCCCCCAUGGGAGGUCCCAUGGGACAAGGAUCAGGACAAUACUUUAAAGCAAGGACUGAAUCCUUUUAGUGGAGGUUCUUUGGCCUGAAAAUAGGGAUGGGAUUUUCCAGUUAGGGCACAUAAUGGGAAUGCCCCUUUUUACAUACUGUUUCCUUCUUCCACCAAUUACAUUCCUCUGCAGUCGCAUGCUUUUCAAAAAUAAUUAUGUGUCUACCAGUACUUGUGCUUAGGUUUUGGAAUCAUACUUGAUACAUGUUGUAUUAUGGUGUUUUCCCUGUAAAUUCGUAUGUAUGUAUGUAUUUUCAUGAUACUUCAAUAAAACCAUCAAAAUUGAAAUUAAAGCAAAAUAAAAACAAAUGGGUAAGAACAUAUGGAAAGGGAUAAGCCCGUUAUCAUGUUUAUUAUGAGUGUUGUUUGCUAAAAACAUCAGCUUUGAUCUAGCUUUAUGAAGUAAAUCCACUGGAGAUUUAUUUUACAAAACUAUAAAAAAAUUCUGAAACUGUCACUUACAUUUUUACAAGGUUCUCUAAUACUCUACAGACUGUAUAAGAUUACAAAGUAGUGGAUUAGUAUGGGGGACAACAAUUACUACCUGUGAGAUGACUUUCUUCCUGUUCCACUAUAUAUUUAUGGUGCUAUGUUGCUAAAUAAUAGAUGUGUCCUAUUCUAGAUCACUACAUAUUCUUAUGGACCUUUGCAAUUCCUGUAAUUCCUUUUGAUGAAAAAAUGCUUCUUUGUCUGUAAAUAGCAUGGCUACUGUAAGAAAUUAUUAGGGAAAAAAAUAAUGAAAAGAGAAAAAUAAUUAAAGCUUAACUUUUUUUUUGUUUUUAAUAUGUAAUAUUUAAAUUUUAUUUCAUGCUGGCAUGAGGGUGAUUAGAAUCGUGUUAUAAUAUAUAUAAGGAUAUAUAUAUAAAAGAAUUAGCAUUUAUUUCUCUUACUUAUGCUAAGUAAAAACUAGCAACAACAAGCUCAGGAAUUCAGGACUUGUCUUUCAUAAAACUUUUGACUAUCAGGAUUUCUCGCUUUGUCCCUCCUCCUACCAGUCUGACACAGCCUCAUGAUUCUGGUCACUACAGCCAGUGAACAUCUGAUGAUGAUGACCAUGAUGAAACUCCUAAAACUUUCAUGCCUCCGUUAUUGCCUCCAGGGCUGAAAUGAGGUGAGGCUGCAAGCGACUUGGGUAACAUCAUUAGAAUCUUAUCAAAACUGGUUGUUAAUGAACCAUUUGAUUAAGCAGAAGGAAUUCUUUCUGCUGCUUACACUGACAACAAAAAAAAAAAAGGGCAAAGGAAAAGGUUUGGAUGUGAAAAUAUUUCUCCUUGCAGGAACAGCAUGAAUCAGCUGCAGUUUGUUUUGUUAUCACAUACACACUCUGGUAUAGGGGUAAGCAGGGCAGGCAGAGAUUUUGCAGAUGACAUUUCUAUAUCAAUUUUAUAUAAGAAUGCUGUACAUGCCUGGUUUAGGCUGCAAAAUUUGCAGUGUGAACUACUUAAGUUCUGGCUCUUUGGUAGCAGAGAAUUGUGAAGCUAAAAUAAUCUUUAGUUCCUUUACCCCGAUAGCUGAUUUUUACACCUGAAAUCCCAGAGCUUCAGUGUUUGUGCUUACACAUAGGUAUGUGUUUGCUUAUGAAAUUUAUUUUUUCUCCAAAACCCCAGCUUAUAUCCAUAGAAAACUAUCUACAGAUUUUAUAAACAUCAUUGGCUUAUUCAGCUUUCACUUUUUUUCUGUGCUUAAGAGUAGGUCACACUUAGGACUGAUGUGUGAGGCCAAAGAGCUUUUCUUCUUCUACAGCUCCCAGCCUGUUUUUUCACCAGCAUAAUUUCCCAUCAUUUCUCGAUUUCACUUUAUUCGUUAUAAUACUUCUCAUCUUAAUGUGGUUUUUUUUUGACUGUUAAUACAAUCUCAUACACGUAUUCUUUCCCCCUGCUCUCCCCCUCCCCCCCUUCA